GAAUUUAUUACCAUGAAUCUCAUCUUAGGGGGUUAUAUUCCGUGAGUCUAUCAAAAUUUCAUUGAACUUUUGGGUUGGAAAGAAAUUGAGAUUGGUGAUGGCCUUCCUAACAUCAGGUUGACAGGAAAAUGCCUUGAAGCUCUUAAGCAAGCUGGUUUUGAGGACAUGUGAGAGAGAGAUCUUGCAAUGGACUCACCUAUCCCCUGGUACUUGCCUUCAGAUAAAAGUCACUUGUCAUUGAGUAGUUUCCUUCUAACUGCUGUUGGGAGUUUCAUCACAAGAAACAUGGUCAAGACCCUGGAAUUUGUGGGACUUGCUCCAAAGGGAAGUGAGCUUGUUCAAAAUUUUCUAGUGCAAACUGCAGAAGGGCUAGUAGGAGGUGGAAAGUAAGUUUUUGCUGUAUCAUACUUAAUUCUCUUUGAGCUUAAUGCUAAGUUUUUGAUGUAUUGUUUCUGAGUAACACAAAGUUAGCAAUAAUUACAUAUUUAAUGAGGAAGUUUGUAGCCUCAUGCACAGGCUGCAAAUCUGGCAUUACAUCAGAUCCAUCUAAGUGGGGUUUCUCUAAUCCUGUAACUUGUGCAAGUGGAUAUUUUGAACUAAAUCAAUGGUCCUAAAUUUUGUAGUGCACCCAACCUUGCAAUGAUAAUUAAGAAGAAAUGGUGAAAAGGGAAAGAAUUGUUGAAAUUCUUUUCUUGUAGGAGUUGAAUCAUAAUUUCUUCUUUUUGAGUCAUUGCCUUAAUGUACUCAUGUACCCAUGAGCUGCUCCUAUGGUUAAAUUUCUGUCUUCCAGGAAAGAGAUUUUCACACCAAUGUAUUUCUUGAAGCCGCUUUCAGAUAAUCAGUAAUGUGGCAACCUAAACUAAUUAACCUGAUACCAUAGCCUAGGAAUCUUCCCAGGAAUUCUGACAGUUAGAAAUGAUGUUAGAAUAUGGUCUGACCAUGCUAGUUGACUUUGUAAUUUGAAGCUUGCUGAGUUCUGAGUUGCCAUUUGAAAGUUGUGCGUCUAUGUUUGGUUAUCUGUGGGUUCAUCUGUACGCCCCCAAUGGCUUGAGCAAUGUUUUAGCCUUCUGCUCCAUUGGGGCAGUGACUCUUUUAUCUUGUCUAUUGAAUGAAAAUUUUCCUCUCUGCCUAGGUUAGAGGUGCACACUUUUUGUUGUUGGUAAAUGUGUGACCAUAUCACUUUCACUGCU